rnacentral:rRNA from 1 species
AAUGAACGCUGGCGGCAGGCCUAACACAUGCAAGUCGAGCGGAUGAAGGGAGCUUGCUCCUGGAUUCAGCGGCGGACGGGUGAGUAAUGCCUAGGAAUCUGCCUGGUAGCGGGGGAUAACGUCCGGAAACGGGCGCUAAUACCGCAUACGUCCUGAGGGAGAAAGUGGGGGAUCUUCGGACCUCACGCUAUCAGAUGAGCCUAGGUCGGAUUAGCUAGUUGGUGGGGUAAAGGCCUACCAAGGCGACGAUCCGUAACUGGUCUGAGAGGAUGAUCAGUCACACUGUAACUGAGACACGGUCCAGACUCCUACGGUAGGCAGCAGUGGGGAAUAUUGGACAAUGGGCGAAUGCCUGAUCCAGCCAUGCCGCGUGUGUGCAGAAGGUCUUCUGAUUGUAAAGCACUUUAAGUUGUGAGGAAGGGCAGUUAGUUAAUACCUUGCUGUUUUGACGUUACCAACAGAAUAAGCACCGGCUAACUUCGUG